rnacentral:rRNA from 1 species
GAACGCUGGCGGCGUGCCUAAUACAUGCAAGUAGAACGCUGAAGGAGGAGCUUGCUUCUCUGGAUGAGUUGCGAACGGGUGAGUAACGCGUAGGUAACCCGCCUGGUAGCGGGGGAUAACUAUUGGAAACGAUAGCUAAUACCGCAUAAUAGUAGAUGUUGCAUGACAUUUGCUUAAAAGGUGCACUUGCAUCACUACCAGAUGGACCUGCGUUGUAUUAGCUAGUUGGUGGGGUAAGGGCUCACCAAGGUGACGAUACAUAGCCGACCUGAGAGGGUGAUCGGCCACACUGGGACUGAGACACGGCCCAGACUCCUACGGGAGGCAGCAGUAGGGAAUCUUCGGCAAUGGACGGAAGUCUGACCGAGCAACGCCGCGUGAGUGAAGAAGGUUUUCAGAUCGUAAAGCUCUGUUGUAAGAGAAGAACGAGUGUGAGAGUGGAAAGUUCACACUGUGACGGUAUCUUACCAGAAAGGGACGGCUAACUACGUGCCAGCAGCCGCGGUAAUACGUAGGUCCCGAGCGUUGUCCGGAUUUAUUGGGCGUAAAGCGAGCGCAGGCGGUUAGAUAAGUCUGAAGUUAAAGGCUGUGGCUUAACCAUAGUAGGCUUUGGAAACUGUUUAACUUGAGUGCAAGAGGGGAGAGUGGAAUUCCAUGUGUAGCGGUGAAAUGCGUAGAUAUAUGGAGGAACACCGGUGGCGAAAGCGGCUCUCUGGCUUGUAACUGACGCUGAGGCUCGAAAGCGUGGGGAGCAAACAGGAUUAGAUACCCUGGUAGUCCACGCUGUAAACGAUGAGUGCUAGGUGUUAGACCCUUUCCGGGGUUUAGUGCCGUAGCUAACGCAUUAAGGCACUCCGCCUGGGGAGUACGACCGCAAGGUG